CCUACGGGUGGCAGCAGUGAGGAAUAUUGGUCAAUGGACGCAAGUCUGAACCAGCCAUGCCGCGUGCAGGAAGACGGCUCUAUGAGUUGUAAACUGCUUUUGUACGAGGGUAAACGCAGAUACGCGUAUCUGUCUGAAAGUAUCGUACGAAUAAGGAUCGGCUAACUCCGUGCCAGCAGCCGCGGUAAUACGGAGGAUUCAAGCGUUAUCCGGAUUUAUUGGGUUUAAAGGGUGCGUAGGCGGUCGGAUAAGUUAGAUGUGAAAUCCCGAGGCUCAACUUCGGAAUUGCCUCUGAUACUGUUCGGCGAGAGAGUAGUUGCGGUAGGCGGAAUGUAUGGUGUAGCGGUGAAAUGCUGAGAGAUCAUACAGAACACCGAUUGCGAAGGCAGCUUACCAAGCUACUUCUGACGUUGAGGCACGAAAGCGUGGGGAGCAAACAGGAUUAGAUACCCGAGUAGUC
rnacentral:rRNA from 1 species